rnacentral:rRNA from 1 species
UACGUAGGGUGCGAGCGUUAAUCGGAAUUACUGGGCGUAAAGCGUGCGCAGGCGGUGAUGUAAGACAGGUGUGAAAUCCCAGGGCUUAACCUUGGAACUGCAUUUGUGACUGCAUCGCUGGAGUGCGGCAGAGGGGGAUGGAAUUCCGCGUGUAGCAGUGAAAUGCGUAGAUAUGCGGAGGAACACCGAUGGCGAAGGCAAUCCCCUGGGCCUGCACUGACGCUCAUGCACGAAAGCGUGGGGAGCAAACAGG